UAGAUUACGAGAUCAAGUCUAGUGAACCCAUGUGAAAUGAGUUCUGAAUACUCCAUGUAGAUUUAUUGUGUAAAGCUUUUCCGUAACGGUGUCCCUACCACAGAUGUCAUACCAGUGUUGUCCUGCCAGGGGUGUCCUACCACAGAUGUCAUACCAGUGUUGUCCUGCCAGGGGUGUCCUACCACAGAUGUCAUACCAGUGUUGUCCUGCCAGGGGUGUCCUACCACAGAUGUCAUACCAGUGUCGUCCUGCAGGGGUGUCCUGCCAGUGUCGUCCUACCAGGGGUGUCCUACCACAGAUGUCAUACCAGUGUCGUCCUGCCAGUGUCAUCCUACCAGUGUUGUCCUGCCAGGGGUGUCCUGCCAGUGUCGUCCUACCAGGGGUGUCCUACCACAGAUUUCAUACCAGUGUCGUCCUGCCAGGGGUGUCCUGCCAGUGCUGUCCUGCCAGGGGUGUCCUGCCAGUGUCGUCCUACCAGGGGUGUCCUACCACAGAUGUCAUACCAGUGUCGUCCUGCCAGGGGUGUCCUGCCAGUGUCAUCCUACCAGUGUCAUCCUACCAGUAUUGUCCUGCCAGUGUCAUCCUACCAGUGUCGUCCUGCCAGUGUCGUCCUGCCAGGGGUGUCCUGCCAGUGUCGUCCUACCAGGGGUGUCCUACCACAGAUGUCAUACCAGUGUCGUCCUGCCAGGGGUGUCCUGCCAGUGUCAUCCUACCAGUGUCAUCCUACCAGGGGUGUCCUGCCAGUGUCGUCCUGCCAGGGGUGUCCUGCCAGUGUCGUCCUGCCAGGGGUGUCCUGCCAGGGGUGUCCUGCCAGUGUCGUCCUACCCAGGGGUGUCCUACCACAGAUGUCAUACCAGUGUCGUCCUGCCAGUGUCAUCCUACCAGUGUUGUCCUGCCAGUGUCGUCCUACCACAGAUGUCAUACCAGUGUCGUCCUGCCAGGGGUGUCCUACCACAGAUGUCCUGCCAGGGGUGUCCUGCCAGUGUCGUCCUGCCAGGGGUGUCCUACCACAGAUGUCAUACGAGUGUCGUCCUGCCAGUGUCGUCCUGCCAGUGUCGUCCUACUUGCAUAAAAGUAAAGAUAUAUUCACAGAAAAUGGCUCAAGUAAACGUGAAAGUCACCCAGUAAAAUACUACAUGAAUACAAAUCUAAAAGUAUUUUGGUUUUAAAUAUACUUAAAAAUGAAUGUAAUUCCUAAAAUAUGUAAGUAUCAAAAGUAAAAGUAUAAAUAAUAAAAAAUUCAUUUUAUUAAGCAAACCAGUUUCCUAGUUUUU
rnacentral:lncRNA from 1 species